CCUACGGGAGGCAGCAGUGGGGAAUUUUGGACAAUGGGCGCAAGCCUGAUCCAGCCAUGCCGCGUGCGGGAAGAAGGCCUUCGGGUUGUAAACCGCUUUUGUCAGGGAAGAAAAUGUUCUGGAUAAUACCUGGGACUCAUGACGGUACCUGAAGAAUAAGCACCGGCUAACUACGUGCCAGCAGCCGCGGUAAUACGUAGGGUGCAAGCGUUAAUCGGAAUUACUGGGCGUAAAGCGUGCGCAGGCGGUUAUGCAAGACAGAGGUGAAAUCCCCGGGCUCAACCUGGGAACUGCCUUUGUGACUGCAUAGCUAGAGUACGGUAGAGGGGGAUGGAAUUCCGCGUGUAGCAGUGAAAUGCGUAGAUAUGCGGAGGAACACCGAUGGCGAAGGCAAUCCCCUGGACCUGUACUGACGCUCAUGCACGAAAGCGUGGGGAGCAAACAGGAUUAGAUACCCUGGUAGUCCACGCCCUAAACGAUGUCAACUGGUUGUUGGGAGGGUUUCUUCUCAGUAACGUAGCUAACGCGUGAAGUUGACCGCCUGGGGAGUACGGCCGCAAGGUUGAAACUUAAAUGAAUUGACGG
rnacentral:rRNA from 1 species